AGGGCUCCCCUCAUUUCUCAAGCAGAGAAUCACAAAAGUACAAUCUCUAAAAACAUCUAAACAUAAUCAAAGCCGACCAAAUCACAUCAAUCUCAUCCCACGAGCAAGAAAACACCCAACACAGCAUAAGAGAGAGAGAGAGAGACCAGGGCGACGAAGGAGACGAGCGCAUAGGCGGCACAGAGAGCGUAGAAAACACCGUCCUGCCACUGGGUGGAGUCGUUGAUCUCGUCCCACCAGCUGGCGACGAGGGCCGCGACCUCCAUUGGCGACAGACCCGCCACUCGCAGGCUCCUCCCCAUGCUCCUCUCACUCCAGAGAAGCAGCUCCCUCUCGAACCAACAACAGCCCACAAAAAAAAAACAAAAAAAAACAAAACCUUUCGUACCGACCGAACCACUCCA